AAUGGAGUGGAUAGCAUUCUAAGCAUAUAUAUAUGAAAUAUAUUUGUGACUAUGGGUUGUGUGGAGGGAAGAAGGGCUUCUUGCUAGGGAUAGGAAAUGAUUUAUGGAAUGGCUUCUUGAACAGUGGAAUAGGCUUAUGAAUAGGAAUUGGUUUAUAAACUGGAAUAGGCUUAUGAAUAGGAAUUGGUUUAUAAACUGGAAUAGGCUUAUGAAUAGGAAUUGGUUUAUAAACUGGAAUAGGCUUAUGAAUAGGAAUUGGUUUAUAAACUGGAAUAGGCUUAUAAAUUGGAAUUGGUUUAUACACUGGAAUAGGUUUAUAAACUGGAACAGGAAUAGGUUUUACGACUGGAUAUGGCUUUGGAAUAGGCUUAUAAAUUGGAAUAUGUUUCUUGUAAAAUGGCUUCUUGAAUAGUGGGAAUUUGUGAUGAAAAAGUCCUUUGAAUUUAGCUUCUUCAUCAUCAACUUUGGGGCUUGUCUUUGCAAUACCUUCGUUUACAAGCUUCCCAUCAGUAUUCACUUUAUCCCCAGCUGCAAAAUAAAUUCAAAAGAAUUACAUAAUUCAAAGACACAAUACUUCUAUGAUAAUUAUAAACUUGAGUUAUUCCACAAUAAUUAUUAUAUACUAUAUAUUUACGUGAGGGAGUGUGAGUAAUAUGAAGCAUGCACAAACCUGAAACUUGAGUUGCUGGUAGAGCUGAAGUAGCAUAACAGAAUGUGACAAUAAGCAACAAGGGAACACAGAAUCGCACAAGUGCAGAUGGCUUUCCCAUUGAGAAAACAAGGUAAGAUAUGACAAUUAUGAUAGGGGAAUGAAUACCUCAAAGCCUGAGUUACACUAUUACAUUUACUCCUAUUUAUAAUAGAAAUACCCACCAACCUUGGAAUCUUCAAAUUAAUUAUAUCAUGUGUUUGUUUGAUUUUUAAAACCUGAAUUUUACAAGUGCAUUGCAUGACUUUCAAGCUUUUUUUUUUCUUUCCCCUCUAAAAUCUAUCUCGCAAACAAACUCUUAUUUUAAAGAUGUGUCGAGGUAAGAAGAAAAAAAUGACUUUAUAAUCAUCUAACGAGUGUAUUUUACAGCUUUGAAGUCUCCUUUUACACAUACUUCCUUCCAAAAACCUAACUCGUAAGUAAGGGAUAAGUGGUUAAUGAUAUUAAAAUUACAUUAACGUAUGGCAGUUGGAAAUGUGUUUAGAGAUCAAAUGGUGAUUAACACCGCUUUUGCCGCUGAUCGACAUGAGUGUUCUCUCCAUUAAAUGAGCCUCCUUUCUUGGGUAUCAAGAGAAUAAUUAAUGCAUCAAACAGCUGAAAGCUUCAAUCAUAAAAAGUCAAACACUCAAGCCUAAGUUCAUACAAUUAAUUGAGUGAACUACAUAGAUAUAUCUUACCCAUUUACCUUUGUAUAGAAAAAAUGCUAUUUCUUCAGUACAUUUGACUGCACACUAUUAUGUUAUAUAUGUACGAAACAUAUGCCCUGGUUUUAACCUGUACGUGAAACAAUUACUUCAAAGGGUUAAGAUUAAACAGAAAAGGUUGAAAACGGAAUAAUAUCAAAAGGAGAAAAUGUAUAAUUCGGGUAUAGUAUUAAAAGUAUGUAGCUAAAGUAGAUAGACAUUUAGUUGAGGACCAUUUCCAUGUGCCAUAAUGAAAAUAUCAUUGCAAUUGGCAGCUUGUGAGAGCUGUGAAGAAAGAGACAUAAGAUCUGCCCCAAAGAAGAAAAGGGUUUGGGACUUGAUAUAUUAAAACCGUCUAAUUAAUCGUUGAAGAGUCAAGAGUAUAAAGUUUUUGGGUUUAAAUAUGUAAUUUAUUGUAAUAGUGAAUGUUAUUAAUACAUUACCUGUUUUCAAAUAGGUCAGAGAUACUAGUAUAAUGGUAUAAUAGUUUAACAGAUGAUUCACUAAUUAAACCGUAUAUCAGUGAAAUUAGAUAUACAUAUAUAAUAUAUUAACAUUAAUGUUGAAAAAUCAAUAAAAAAUUAAUAAAUUUUUUAUUUACAUUAAAAUUAAUUUUAAAUAAAAACCGACCGCUAUGACUGAUACAGUUUUGAAUUGAAAACAGGUCAGCAUAACCAAUUUUGACCGUUAUAAUUGCAUGAUCAGUAUAAUUGUUGUAUUGUAUUAAUAUUGGGACCGGUUUACUAGUUGAAUCGGUCGACACGAACUAGUUUUUUAAACACUGCUAAUAGUUUUACUUGAGUUAUGUGUUGUGAGAACUAGACCGGACAAGAUGGUCUGACCGGUCCAACUACUGAAUGAACCAGAAAACGGCUCUGGUUUACAGCCUUAACUGAAUGGGGAUUGAAUCGCUUUGAAUAAGAGAAAUUCUGGUCCGACCAUGUUUAAUCCGAUUAAAUUAAUUACAUAGUAAGUAAAUCAGACGCUUCACUAAUAAUUAAAAAUAUUAAACACUACUUUAAUCUUUUGUUUUACUCGAGUACGCAAAAAAAAGGACGAUACUUCAAUAUAAUUAUCCAUAAAUUAUUAAUUAUUUAAAUUUUUACAUUUAUAUAUAAUUAUGUAUUUAUAGAUAAAAAAUAUUAUUAUAUAUGAAAUCACUCGAUCUGACUAGAUGAUUUAACCGUUUAAACCUAAUACGAGAUCUCUUCUCAUUUAAGGUUUUGUAUGGAUUUUAAAACAUUGCUUGAGUUGGACUUUGGUCUCGCAUUAUUGUAUGUUUGAUUAUAAGUGAUCUCUAGUUUCAUGUGGUUAUGUAGUAUUUCAACUAUUAUAUCUGGAACACAUUAGCCAAAUUAAUUUACAACUUUUCACUUUCUUCUUCUCUGGUGAAAAGCCAUACCUAAAACAAAAACUUGAGAGGUGUGAUAUGUGGUUAAGACUUGAUCUUGAGACCAACUUUCGUGGCUAGGAAGAGAAAGAUGGUGAUGGUGGUAAGUAAGGUAGCAACAUAUGAAUUAAGUGGACAAUGAAUAAAGGUUUUGGAGAAAUUAGAUGAGCACACCUAUUCCCUGAAGUAUCCUAAGAAAACCCCACCAUUUUUUUGUUCAAUCUAAAUACAAAAUGCGUUUAUAUUAAAUGCAUGUUCAUGGGAGACAAAAUGGCGAUACUAUACGGCAAUUAGGUACCUAUUAUUUUGCCUGAGUGUGGUUGCUUAAGGGUAUACGAUGGUACCAGUGGUGGGGCUUGAAAUUUUUCAGGGACCAAGGUAAAUGUAUGAUGUGUAAUUCUUCAGGUCGAAAUUAGUUUUAGUGCCAACUAUUAUAUAUGUGAAAAAAUGGAAAAUUCACUUGUCACAUACGAUGUCCCAUUUUUUGUUUCGAGUCAAUCAUAAUGUUAGUUUUUGUUUUAUAAAAUUUUAUUUUAUUUAUAUGUUCAUUUAUGAUUGGUUUGAGACAGGAAAUGAGACAUCGUCGAAGAUAAGUGAUAUAAAAUUAUUCCUAAUUAUGUAAUACAGAAUGACUUUGAGAGGUUGGAUUUAUCUAAGAAUUAGGUUCUUGUUCUUAUGUUUUACAUAUUCAUGUGAUUGAAGUAACCUUCUAGCUUCAACCUUUUAAUAAAUAAAAAAGUCAAAGGAAUAAUUUUAGAAGCCAUUUUUUUUCUCCUAAACAACGAUAUUAAUAAGGUGCAACACAAUCACAAGAUAAUAAUGUUUCUCUAAGCAUGAUACGAAGAGAUCUAUCUUUCUCUUCUAAUACGAGGUGAUCGAUCGAUAUCCUUAGUGUAAAUUUUACUAUCUUAAACAAAUGGAACUACUAUCAAAAUAAGUAUCAGCAAGUGCAACUAUCUCAACAAGUUAUUAAAUUUAAUAUGUUCUUAUAAGUCCUACUCUAUGUUUGAAUGCAGGACAUUAAACACUUGCAGUGCAGAACAAAAUCAGGACACAAGGGAAGAUGAAGCUAAGCACAUGACAGAGCAUGAGUAUAACAAUUUCCCCAACAAUCUGAUUCAUCAAGGCUUCACCUAUAUAACUCAACAUCACUCUCUGCUUGAUUCCUCAAUCAAUAAUCACAGUGUGAUGAUCACUCAAUUCAUUGAAGCCACUGAUGAGAAAUGCAGGCUUGAGUUAUUGAGUGUUGGGCCAAUCAAGGCCUUCAUGGCCCAACCUUAUAGUAUCACAAAAAUAGCAAGGCUUUGUAUCUUGGCAGUUAUAUUAGUUAAACUGCUUCUAUUUUUAGUUAGAUAUUUUUUCUGUUUUUUCCCGCCUUUUUAGGGUAGUUUUCUGUUUUUCUCUUUACUUCUAUAUUUAAGAGAAUGCUCUCUCGGUUUGUAAUCAUGAAGUGAAAAUUCUGGUUGUUUUGAUUCAAUAAAAGAAGAAGGAGGUAUUAUUUUCUUGUGUGUUCUUUUUUCAAUUCUCAAUAAGCUUUUCAUCCUUAGUUCAUCAAUGGAAGGCAACUUUCUAAGAUGGUAUCAGAGCAUCUUUUGAUGCUCUGCUGCGAAAAUUCUCUUUGAUCUCAUUCCCUGUUCUCUUGAUCAUUUUCCUUCCCCAUCUAUCUUUCAUGGCCAACACUGUUAGCAUCCUUAAUCCCAUCAACGAUCCUGCUAGCCUCUUCUACCUCCACCCGAAUGAAAAUCCUGCAACUGUUCUUGUCACACCUCCCUUGAAUGGAACAAACUAUCAUUCUUGGUCCAGAGAGAUGAUGAUGGCUUUGAAAUACAAAAACAAACUUCAGUUUAUAGAUGGUACUCUUCUUAAACCAAGCACGGAUGACCCUUCUUUUGGAUCUUGGGACAGAUGCAACACACUAGUCCUAUCUUGGAUCAAUCAUUCAAUGGAUAGACCCAUUUUGCAAAGUGUCCUUUGGAUGGAUACAGCUUUUGAAGUCUAGGAAGAUCUAAAGGAAAGAUACUAUCAAGGAUAUGUAUUUAGGAUUUGUGAUCUUCAAGAGGAAAUUUACAACACCAAACAAGGAAACAGAUCCAUCAAUAGUUAUCAUACUAUUCUGAAAAGCUUGUGGCAAGAACUAGAAAAUUUCAGACCCAUACCGUCUUGCCCUUGCCCAACUCGAUGCGAUUCUUCCCUUGCUGGUUUGUUUAGGAGCUAUAGAGAAGAUGACUAUGUCAUUAGAUUCCUAAAAGGACUUAAUGAACAAUAUGCUGCUGUCAGAUCACAGAUCAUGCUGAUGGAUCCAUUACCAUCAUUGAAUAAAGCUUUUUCCCUAUUGAUUCAACAACAAAGACAACUGAACUUGCCCAUAACUUUGGAAGAUCCACAGAUUUUGAUCAGUAACACUGAAGUUGCUGGCAGGGGAAGAUCCAAAGGAAGGGGUUUCACACCUAUUGGAAAUAGUAGUACUGGAAGAGGAAACAGUUACAAUGGUGGUAGAGGAAGAGGAUCAAAUUUCAAGCUAUGCUCAUUCUGCAAUAAAAGUGGUCACACCGUGGACACAUGUUACAAGAAGCAUGGUUUCCCUCCUAACUACAAGAAGAACAACAAUAUAAACAUCAUCAAUAGUGAAGAUGAAGAACAGAGCAUCAAGGACAAUUUGAGUGGUUUCACUGCUGAUCAACAUAAGGCAAUCUUGGCCCUUCUUAAAGAUUCAACAAAUGUUCAAGUGACCAACCAAAUCACUAAUAUAGAAUCUUCAAAUUCAGGUAAUUCUGCAACCUUACUCUGUUCAUCCAAACAGAAGGAUUGGGUUCUUGAUACGGGGGCAACUGGUCAUGUUUGCUUUUCCCUAUCAGAAUUCCAAUCCUUUAGGAAAAUUAAUCCUAUUCAAAUUAGACUUCCUAAUGGCAAUGAAGUCAUGAGCAACAUUGCUGGGACUGUUAUAUUUUCUAAAGACCUAUGCCUUAGUAAUGUUCUAUACAUACCAAAGUUUAGUUUCAAUCUCAUAUCAGUGUCAAAAUUGACCACUGCCCUCAACUGCAAGCUGACUUUCACUAACACCAAAUGUGUGAUGCAGGAGGAGUCCACAUUGAGGAUGAUUGGUGCAGCUGAAGCUAUAAGGGGCUUAUACAUCAUUAAUUCAAAAAACCUCAAUUACCAUUUUAAUAACAGCAUCAGUAAUGUUAGGAGCAAUAAGAGGAUUGAUAAUAAUGAUGUUUGGCAUAGAAGAAUGGGACAUCCCUCAGAUGCCAAACUAGUUACUCUGAAUAAGAGAUUUUCUUUUAUACAACCUAGGGCCUCUAAUGAACCAUGUGAUAUUUGCCAUUAUGCCAAACAAAGAAAAUUACCUUUUCAGAACAGCAUCACUGAAACUACCAAAAUCUUUGAUCUCAUUCAUGUUGACAUUUGGGGUCCCAUAUCUAUUCCCUCAAUUCUUGGACACAAGUAUUUCCUAACCAUAGUUGAUGAUAAA
rnacentral:lncRNA from 1 species